GGAUCUCGUCCGCGGAAGACAUCCUUUCAAUAACUUUUGAACGAAUAAUACGCAAAGAUGUACAAGACUAAACGAAAGCGAAAGCAGUUCUAAUAGCCCAGAAGUAUUGCAAAGGAGUAGGAUUAACCGAUAUCUAAAUUUUAAUUACGUCUGAAGAAGAUACUCAACUUGGAUCUCAACUACGCUCGAUUUAACCAUUAAACAGUCGACAUCCGAAAUGAAACACGCUUCCAUUGGUACUUCCUGCUCUUCCUUACAUCCUAUGAUUCGUUCUACUUGGAUGGUAGAAAUAUCCGACCGUCAGAGAGAGUAGGAAAUGAAAACGUUUACCUCUUCAGUUUUAUAUUUAAAUGAUUUUAUCAUGGCGAUUAGAAUAUUUCUAUUGAUGAAUGGGAUAUUAAGUCUCUUAACUCUAGCUAUCCUAAAGAUCGUUAAAACGGCGGAGGAAGCUGAUGCUGCUCAUGAAUUUAUUACAAAUCUUCCUAGUGAUAAGAAAACCAAGUUGGUGAAAGAGGCACCUAAUUAUUCGGUUCAUGGAAACAACGUGUUGCUAUUCUUAGAGCAUUAAUAUAGCAACAAUCAACUUCAAUAUUUAAUUUUAUUAAACGAGCGCAUUGGAUCCUGGAAGCAGAAGACUGCUUCAAGAAACAAUUGAAAAUUCAAGGAAGAAACAUCGUUAGCUAUUGUUCAUGCAUGCAUUAUUUGAUUGGGAAUACCUAAGAAGAGGAAAAAGAAGAAAAAACAUUUGUGCUUGACAAUGAAGUUUCGAAAGACCAAUAUGGCGCUGUUUUAUAAAGCUUGAAGUGGUGGUACGAGAAACUGGGAGGGACUUAUCUUUUUUAAAGGAUUUAAACGUGAGCGGCUUUAGCUGGAGCGUAUACGGGAUUGAACUCGGAAUGAUUUAUUGAAGGGUCGUCGAACGUUCCACGAAGGGUCAAUUAAAAUUUCCUCUUACUUGCCCGAAGGGAUGAAAAGGCCGAAAAGGACAUGGUUUGGGACGGAAACGAAUUUCUCCAUCAAUCCCUUCUAAUUGGACGUAACAUCGUUCGUUUGAAUAGUGAUACAAUUAGACGGAAUAAACCGUUUUCAAUGGAUCCAUAGAUGGGGAGCUUUAGCUAGAGGGUAAAAUCGAUUUUAAUCAAAGAGACCGUUGAAGGGUUGUCCAUUGAUGUUGCAUGUGAAACAUGAAUCAAAGUGAAAUUGAGAUGGAACUGAGAACAUGAUUAAACCUACGAGAACGAUACACAAAUUCACCGCUUUCAAGAUAAUAAUGCUAGUUAUACGAGAAAUAUUAAUUUCAUGUUUACGUCAUAGUGUUAUCAUUAUUUCAUCAAUUUAAAUUGAGUAAUUAUUCUAUUUAAUUAUAAAUAGAAGCAAUUUUGGGUUCAAUGUUUCACAAUUUUUCAUCAUAAUAUUCAUGAUAUCUACUGAAAAAAUAUUUAUAACAUUUAAUGUACGUUUUUCAGUAAUAUCGGAAUUUGUACGAAUUAUUCUGCUCUUUAAAUUGAAUUCUCUUGUUAAUAUGAUUUGAUUGGGUUUUAUUGAAAAUGCAUGUAUGUAUUACGUUCCUCCAUACGUAUCGUCAAGUACCCUCAGAUUAAACGAAUUGUUACUACC